UACGGAGGGAGCUAGCGUUGUUCGGAAUUACUGGGCGUAAAGCGCACGUAGGCGGCUUUGUAAGUUAGAGGUGAAAGCCCGGAGCUCAACUCCGGAAUUGCCUUUAAGACUGCAUCGCUUGAAUCCAGGAGAGGUGAGUGGAAUUCCGAGUGUAGAGGUGAAAUUCGUAGAUAUUCGGAAGAACACCAGUGGCGAAGGCGGCUCACUGGACUGGUAUCGACGCUGAGGUGCGAAAGCGUGGGGAGCAAACAGG
rnacentral:rRNA from 1 species